GGCACAAACUCUCUCUUUUUUAUAAUUAUUGUCUCAUUGGAAAUAAUAAUACAUCGUGGUUUAAGAUGCUUCACAUCUUUAUGGAGAAUCAAUUUUCUUCUCAAAUCUGAGAAAUUGUUGACAACAGAAGAACCAUCCAAAAUGACUGAAAAAUAAACAAGAAGAAGACGAGGAAGACGACAAAGUCGAAGCAAUCUCAUGGUUAUAGAAUCGCGGUUGACAAAGAGAAAGGAGACAAUCACAAUCGAUGAAGACAAAGAGAAGACAUGAGGGAUUGUUAUGAUCUGGCGGUGAAGAGAACGACAGUGCCCAUGAAUGUGUAUCGUUGUAUCAGAAAAAAAAAGAAGAUACGUAAGAGAUGACUCGUUGUCUAUACAUACUAUAUUCGGUGAAAGGACGUCAUACAAUUGUAUAUAUAUGUUUGUUAGUGUAGAUAUUUGUAAUGGUACUAUACUAUUUAAGUAUAGUCGCAUAUUCCUCACAUAUAUCUUAUACUAUAUCCAUGAAACAUAACCGUCUGUCUUGCACUCAAAUUUAACAGUUCUCUUAUUCAUCGUGUUCAUUUGCAAUGCAAUAUAAUAGUUUUUAUGUUCUAUUCUAAUUGAUGAUUGAUAAAUAGUGUUUUUUUUACCAUCUUUAUCCCUUCUAGCAGACAUAUCAUUUUAAUUUAUCGAUCUUAUUAUUGGUUAAUGUCAAUAUCUGACUUUAUGUAUUCUCUUUAGCAAUGGUCGCACACAUCGUAUUAACAAAUUAAAUAGUUUUCAGUAACUUAAUUUUUAGUACUAUUUGUUUAGAAUAGAAUAACUCAAUUUUCUUAUGUGCAUAUCUUACGGUUUGUAAUUUAUGUGUAUUAAUCGUUGUUUCAUAAUUGUUAAUAUUUGUGAUUUGUAAUGAAAAAAAGUUAAAAUGAUAUAUUAUGGUUUAUAAUUGUGUUUGGGUUUAAUGAUUUGGGUUUAGGGUUUAAUAUUUAGGGGCUAGGGUUGGGUAUUUAGGGGAUGUUGGGGUGCAGGCGAGGUCUAUAAAUGAAAUAGCAGCUUGAACCAUGCUCAAUUUGCAAUGUGAGACUAUUAUACUUUUAUAUAUAAAAAUGUAAUAUUUGUUCUAUUUUUAAUGUUAUUAAAUAGAAUAGAACAAUAUUUUUUCGUAUUACAAAACAAAACAAGGAUUGCGACGACAACAAAACGAAUAUGUAUAUAAUAAAUAAGUGUGUGAGGUGAGUUUCAUUGAUUUGAUAAUAAAUAGUAGUGAUUCAUUUUUAUCCAUAUGUAAAUGGAAUCAACCAUUCAUACUAUACUAAUUAUAAAAAGGGUAAACUUGCUAUAUUCCCACGAGAACUAUCAUAUAGCAUCAGAUGUCCACCGAACUAUGACCUCAUGAUAUAUGUCCAUAAAAUGAAUAUUGUAAACGUAUUUCUCUCCGAAUUUAAAGUUACAAUCUUAUUUCACCCCGAACCGAUAAUUUAAAACUUAAUUAUUCAUAAACCAUUAUUUUAAUCGGUUAACUAUUUACCAACCAAAACUCAAUUUCAAUUAAACCAAACCAUUUGACUCAAAAAAAAAUAAGGAAAUAAAACAGACCCGUCAACCCGACCCAGUGUUCUCUUCUUCUUCUUCACCCGAACUCAAUCCUUACCUCUCCAAUCAAAUUUCUGAUCCUUAGACACAAUGUUCACAUGUCUGAACCCUUCGAACUCACCACUUCUCUGCCACAGCUUCUUAUUCUCUUCCAUGGGAAGGUUGAAGAAAUCUUGAACCUCUAUCUCUAAUUUUUGGGUAAACGCAGAGCCCAACCAAAAGAAGCAUGGGCUUCUGGCCGUCAGAUAAUAUUAAUAUAAUCGGCCACAUUUUUUCAGAAGUUUGUCUUUAGUACAGUGGUUAAAUAGCUAAUGGUUUGGAACCCACACUGGUGUUCGAAGCACCCCACCUACAUGAUUAUUUUUUCGGCCACUUUUUUUUCAUUUUGGGCUUCUAGCCUUCAAAAUUCUAGUCCCGACUCUGGGUAAAGGUGCUAUUUCUCCACGAGAACUAUCAUAUAGCAUCAGAUAUCCACCGAACUAUAACCUUAUGCUAUAUGUCCAUGAAAUGAAUAUUGUAAACAUAUUUCUCCCCGAAUUAAAAGAUAUAAUCUUAUUUCACUUCGAACCCAUAGUUUAAAAUUUAAUUAUACAUAAACCAUAAUUUUAAUCGGUUUACUACUUACCAAAUAAUAUUAACCAUUUAAACCAAACCAAAAACUCAGUUUUAAUUAAACCAAACCAUUUGACUCAAAAAGAAAAAAACAACCCAACCCAUUGUUCUCUUCUUCUCCACCCGAACCCAAUCCUUACCUCUCUCCAAUCAAAUUUGUUUGUUGUAGUGGAUCCAAUUAUCCAAGGAUUUGUUCUUUGGUGUUAUAACCCGAUGGAGGAGAAACACAGUGGAGGUCUCUUCUUGUACCUUCCGUCCUAGAGAUCAUGAAAGAGAAGGACUUUAUACGACUGUUCCUCCUAGGUAUAACCGGUCUGAUCAAAACAAAACAGAGACUUUAGAUGAUACUUGUCUGAGUUCAAGAUUCCAGUCAUCACAUGAAACGCUUGUGUUCUGUUUCUGCCAUGGAUACUAAGCUCGAGAACCUCGAUCUAGCUUGCAAGAUUAGGGAUUUUUUCAAAUAAAAUACUUUUUUUAGAUGUUGAAGCUUUGUAUUUAUAUUAAAAGCUCUCUUUGUACCAAUCUGUCUACAUCUAGUCAACCAUGGAAUAGAUUCAUCUUUCCUGGAAAAAUAAAAAUGAUCUGUAAACUGCGAUUAAAUUUCAUCUUUCUUGUACGCCA